GGGCGAAUGGUUUAGUGGUAUAAUACUCCCUUAGCAUGACUUUCGCAUCUGGGAGUGGUCCAGGGUUCGAUUCCCUGUUCGUCCA